UAGUGCGGACGGGUGAGGAAUACGUAGGAAUCUGCCCUUAAGUGGGGGAUAACCCGGGGAAACCCGGAUUAAUACCGCAUGAUCUCGAAAGAGCAAAGCAGGGGACCGCAAGGCCUUGCGCUUUUGGAGGAGCCUACGUCGGAUUAGCUAGUUGGUGAGGUAACGGCUCACCAAGGCGACGAUCCGUAACUGGUCUGAGAGGAUGAUCAGUCACACCGGAACUGAGACACGGUCCGGACUCCUACGGGAGGCAGCAGUGGGGAAUAUUGGACAAUGGGCGAAAGCCUGAUCCAGCAAUGCCGCGUGUGUGAAGAAGGCCUUCGGGUUGUAAAGCACUUUAAGUUGGGAAGAAAAAGCUUCACCUAAUACGGGAGCCUUGACGGUACCGCAGAAUAAGCACCGG
rnacentral:rRNA from 1 species